rnacentral:rRNA from 1 species
CGCAAUGGGCGAAAGCCUGACGCAGCGACGCCGCGUGCGGGAUGAAGGCCUUCGGGUCGUAAACCGCUGUCGGGAGGGACGAAGAUCUGACGGUACCUCCAAAGGAAGCACCGGCUAACUCCGUGCCAGCAGCCGCGGUAAUACGGAGGGUGCGAGCGUUGUCCGGAAUCACUGGGCGUAAAGGGCGCGUAGGCGGCGCGGUAAGUAGGGGGUGAAAUCCUGCGGCUCAACCGCAGAAUGGCCUUCUAGACUGCCGUGCUCGAGCACAGUAGAGGCAGACGGAAUUCCCGGUGUAGCGGUGGAAUGCGUAGAGAUCGGGAAGAACACCGGUGGCGAAGGCGGUCUGCUGGGCUGUUGCUGACGCUGAGGCGCGACAGCGUGGGGAGCAAACAGGAUUAGAUACCCUGGUAGUCCACGCCGUAAACGAUGGGUACUAGGCGGUCGGGGGGAGCGACCCUCCCGGUGCCGUCGCUAACGCACUAACGUACCCCGCCGUGGGGAGUACGGCCGCAAGGCUAG